rnacentral:tRNA from 1 species
GCUGGGGUCGCCUAACCUGGUAGGGCGCCAGUCUGCUAAGCUGGUGGGGUUUAUCCCCUUGCGGGUUCAAAUCCCGCCCCCAGCG